AAAGGCGUAGAGUUUUACGAAAAGCUCUAUUGAGGUAUGAUAAAUGGUCUGCAAUGUAGAGGUUUCUUAAUGGAAAACCAUUCUUUUUUGAAUUUAUAUAUGACCUUGCGAAUUGAAACAUCUUAUUAGCUUGUGGAAUAAAAAUCAACCGAGAUUUUGUAAGUAAUGGCGAGUGAAAGCAAAAAAAAGUAACUUUUUUAUUGAAAAUUAAAAAAUUUGGAAAAAUUUAUCAAAGAAGGUGAUAGUCCUGUAAAAUU
rnacentral:rRNA from 1 species